CGGGAUAUAGCUCAGCUUGGUCAGAGCGCGCGGUUUGGGACCGUGAAGUCGUCAGUUCGAAUCUGACUAUCCCGAC
rnacentral:tRNA from 1 species